UACGAUAACACGCAAUAGUAUGCGCAUAAUAUCUAUUAUCAGCACCUGUAGUGGGAAAUAAAAUAACCACUAAAAACGUCCAACAAUACGAUAAAAAAACCCGAUAGAAAGACCUCAAAUGCACAAUAGUUUUAAAGUUCAAAAUCUAAAAGCCUUAUCGUUAGCCAAGAUCACUCUAUUGUUAUUUGAUAAUUGGUACAUUAUUCUGUCCUUUAAAAUUAUUAUUAUUAGUGUUACUGCUCGUGAUAGUGCAAUCCGUGUCACUGUGUCACUCAAAAACUUCUAACUGACCACCUUAAAAUGUGAUGUUACCCUGAACCACAGAUCAGAUAAUUUGGCGCCAGGUUAAAUUCGAAUUAGAACGGGCCGCAGACGGACUUCAAAAAUGUUUUGGAAUAUGUGUUGUUGUGGACGAAGCCAGAAAGAUUCCUCGCUGGAGAUGAGUUCUGGUAAUAAUGAAUCUCAGAAUACUCAAAUCAGUGUGAUUAAUACAAAUGAGGAGGAAAACGGCCAAAGAAUGCGGACAGAUACGCAGUCCAGCGGGAACAGCAUGCACAGCAUUAAGUCAUUUUAUAGCGCCAAAUCCACAUCGUCGAGAGAUGAAGCGGACUAUUAUAGUGUUUGUAGUGUGGAGUCGUAUAAGAGUACUUGACUGAAAUUCACUUUGUUAUAAGAAUAUGUAAAUUAUAAGGUUAGCUAUUGUAUUUUUAUAUUAAUAUAUUUUUUCGCUAG